rnacentral:rRNA from 1 species
AACGAACGCUGGCGGCAUGCCUAACACAUGCAAGUCGAACGAGACCUUCGGGUCUAGUGGCGCACGGGUGCGUAACGCGUGGGAAUCUGCCCUUGGGUUCGGAAUAACUUCGGGAAACUGAAGCUAAUACCGGAUGAUGACGUAAGUCCAAAGAUUUAUCGCCCAAGGAUGAGCCCGCGUAGGAUUAGCUAGUUGGUGAGGUAAAGGCUCACCAAGGCGACGAUCCUUAGCUGGUCUGAGAGGAUGAUCAGCCACACUGGGACUGAGACACGGCCCAGACUCCUACGGGAGGCAGCAGUGGGAAUAUUGGACAAUGGGCGAAAGCCUGAUCCAGCAAUGCCGCGUGAGUGAUGAAGGCCUUAGGGUUGUAAAGCUCUUUUACCCGGGAUGAUAAUGACAGUACCGGGGGAAUAAGCUCCGGCUAACUCCGUGCCAGCAGCCGCGGUAAUGUGACUACUG